GAGAGAGAGCUUGCCUUCUUGAGCGAGUGGCGAACGGGUGAGUAACGCGUGAGGAACCUGCCUCAAAGAGGGGGACAACAGUUGGAAACGACUGCUAAUACCGCAUAAGCCCACGGCUCGGCAUCGAGCAGAGGGAAAAGGAGCAAUCCGCUUUGAGAUGGCCUCGCGUCCGAUUAGCUAGUUGGUGAGGUAACGGCCCACCAAGGCGACGAUCGGUAGCCGGACUGAGAGGUUGAACGGCCACAUUGGGACUGAGACACGGCCCAGACUCCUACGGGAGGCAGCAGUGGGGAAUAUUGCACAAUGGGGGAAACCCUGAUGCAGCGACGCCGCGUGGAGGAAGAAGGUCUUCGGAUUGUAAACUCCUGUUGUUGAGGAAGAUAAUGACGGUACUCAACAAGGAAGUGACGGCUAACUACGUGCCAGCAGCCGCGGUAAAACGUAGGUCACAAGCGUUGUCCGGAAUUACUGGGUGUAAAGGGAGCGCAGGCGGGAAGACAAGUUGGAAGUGAAAUCCAUGGGCUCAACCCAUGAACUGCUUUCAAAACUGUUUUUCUUGAGUAGUGCAGAGGUAGGCGGAAUUCCCGGUGUAGCGGUGGAAUGCGUAGAUAUCGGGAGGAACACCAGUGGCGAAGGCGGCCUACUGGGCACCAACUGACGCUGAGGCUCGAAAUGUGGGUAGCAAACAGG
rnacentral:rRNA from 1 species